UACGAAGGGUGCAAGCGUUGUUCGGAAUCAUUGGGCGUAAAGCGCGUGUAGGCGGUUGUCCAAGUUGGAUGUGAAAGCCUUGAGCUCAACUCAAGAAAUGCAUUCAGGACUGGAUGACUAGAGGGCCGGAGAGGAUAGUGGAAUUCCCAGUGUAGUGGUGAAAUACGUAGAGAUUGGGAAGAACACCAGUGGCGAAGGCGGCUAUCUGGACGGUUUCUGACGCUAAGACGCGAAAGCGUGGGGAGCAAACAGG
rnacentral:rRNA from 1 species